rnacentral:lncRNA from 1 species
ACCACUUUAAUCUGGAGUCUAUUCACGUAGACUGAAACGAAAACUCCGACUAUCCAACAACGUCAACCAGCUCACCACGAGCAAAUAAGAAACGUUGUUCCAAAAUCCGAGUCAAAAACACUCACAUCGGAGACCACAGCCUCCACCAGUAACCACACCAACUGCCAAAACCUCAUCAACAUAAAGUCACCUGCGACAAUCUAUAGUCCUAGGUCCAAAACCUCACUUUCCACCUGUUCAC